UGUAGCAAAAAGCGGGACAGAUAUGGU
rnacentral:misc_RNA from 1 species